rnacentral:rRNA from 1 species
UACGUAGGGACCAAGCGUUGUUCGGAUUUACUGGGCGUAAAGGGCGCGUAGGCGGCACAGCAAGUCGGGAGUGAAAGCCCGGGGCUCAACCCCGGAAUGGCUUUCGAAACUGCUGAGCUAGAGUACAGAAGGGGCAACCGGAAUUCCCAGUGUAGCGGUGAAAUGCGUAGAUAUUGGGAAGAACACCUGAGGCGAAGGCGGGUUGCUGGGCUGAUACUGACGCUGAGGCGCGAAAGCCAGGGGAGCAAACGGG